ensembl:lncRNA
UGUGUUUGUUCUUUUUUACAUAUGCACGGGAACUUGGUUAAAGAAUGGAAGUCUUGCAUUAUUUUAAUAUGUUAAAACGUGCUUAUAUAUUUCUGUUGUUGUUGAACUUCCUGCUUAUUCUGUUGGGUUAUAUGAGAAUUUGAAUGGGUCUCACAGAGAAUGCCUAUUGAAGCAGGAUUCCCAGCUUGCAGCAGUGAGGGGUUUUGGCUCAGCUGGGAUGCCUGUGCUGGCUGAUACUGACACAGCUGCUGGUUACCUUUAGCACCUCGUUUCAGGAACAUGUGUUUAAAAAAUAAGUGCACUUGUACAGAACUGCUCAUAAAAGGAGGGCUUAAAUCUGUAAUGAUGUACGUUAACGAUACUUGAAUAUAUAAGUUAUUUUGGGUUCUUCUGAACACUUUUGUGCAUUUUUUUCUGCAUUCGUGCUGCAGAAGUUUUAGCUGCCAGUUAACAAAAAUAAUCCAUCAAGAUAAGGCUGGUUAUCCUGUACAUUAGAACAGAAUUUCGUGCCUCACCAGUUUAGCUUGGGAAAUAUUUAGAAUGUGAUUUGGCAAGCGUUGAGAAGCUCUAUACUGAGUAGUACUUGCAAUAGAAGUGAAGCAUGAGGAAUGUUGUGAAGAAAAUGCACAUCUAGCACAUGAGAAAUGGCUAUAACUGUGCUUCAUUGUUGCAAGCAGUUUGUUUUAGUGCAGUGGCUGCAGGCGAAGUAGGGUCGGUGCAGGGAGGAGCCUGGCAUUACAGAGCUGUGAGUGUGAGCCCGAAUGAUUUUGCUACUGAAGGGGUGGAAAUGAGUAAGUGUAAGCAAUCUGCGCCACGCUUUCAUCUGAACUGUUGGUUAUUUCUCCUUUAGAGCUCUGUCUUAGUGGCUACUGAAGAAACAGAGCACAUAAUACUCCAGAGCUUCAAAAUCAGAAGUAAAAUCAUUUGGACAGUUGCCACCUGCCCUCCUAAAUAGGUAAGCAUACUUAAAACAGGAAAAGGGGCCUUGCCCACUUUAUUCCUUUGAGUAGCUGUAAACAUCCCCCCCACCCCUUAAACUAGCAUCUGUCAUUUAGUUGUUUCGAAAUGAUGAACAUAAGGGCCUUGCAAAGAAAAGAAGAAUUACACUUCUUUUCUAAUUUACAGUAAUUAGAAUCAUAUAAUCAUUUAGGUUCAAGAUAAUAAAAUCCACCUAUAAGCCUGACCUACCAAGUCCUGUCACUAAGCUAUGUCCCUUAGUGCCACAUCUACACAUCUCUUGAAUAGUUCCAAGGAUGGAGAUUCCACCACUUCUCCGGGCAGCCUCUUCCAAUGCUUGGCCCUCAUCAUGUUUGUGUAGAAAUUCUUCCUAAUGUACAAUUUAAAACUUCCCUAGUGCAGGUUGGGACUUGUUUUCUUGUGUUCUAUCAUUUAUCGUCUGAGAAAAGAGAUUGACCCCUCUGUUGCAGCCUCCUCCCAGGUUAUUAUACGGAGCAAUGAGGCAUCUGCUCAGCCUCCUCCUCUUCAGAGUAAACAGCCCCAGUUUUCUUGGCUGCUUCUCAUACGUUUUGUUUUCUAGUCCCCUCACCAGCUUUAUCUCUCUUCUCUGAGAGAAGUUCCAGGAACUCUGGGUCUUUCUCGUAGUGAAGGCUCCAAAAGUGAACAUAGUAUUUGAGGUGUAUUCUCACUAGUGCCCAGAGCAGAGGGACAGUUGCUUCCUUAGUUCUUCUGACCAUGUUAUUUGAGUUGCAGGCCAGAAUGCUGUUGGUCAUCUUGGCCUCAGUGCUGGCUCAUGUGCAACUGUCAGCCAGCACGCACAGGUCUUUUUCUGCUGGUAGGCUUUCCAGCCACUGUUCCUCAAUCCUGUCUGGCUGUGUGGGGUUGAAUGUCAUGGAACUGGACUUGGCUCAUCCAACUAGCCAAUCCAGGUUACUCUGCAAAGCCUUCCUAACUUCAAGUAGAUUGACAGCCCUGCCUAAAUUCCUCUUGUCUGUGUAAGUACUGAGAGUGCGUUUGAUCUCCUCGUCAAUAUCAUUAAUAAAAAUGUGAAACAAAACUGACCCCACUGCUGAGAUCUGGGGGAUGUCGCUGAUGACUAGCCACCACCUGGAAUGAACUCAGUUCAUUUUGACUCUGAGCCCUGCCUUCUAUUCAGUUCUUCACUCAGUUAAGUAUAGCUAACCAAAGAAACCUAAAAUUAUUAACAAACUAACAGUAUGCCUAUUGCCUGUG